CCUACGGGUGGCAGCAGUCGAGAAUCAUUCACAAUGGGGGAAACCCUGAUGGUGCGACGCCGCGUGGGGGAAUGAAGGUCUUCGGAUUGUAAACCCCUGUCAUGUGGGAGCAAAUUAAAAAGAUCGUACCACAAGAGGAAGAGACGGCUAACUCUGUGCCAGCAGCCGCGGUAAUACAGAGGUCUCAAGCGUUGUUCGGAAUCACUGGGCGUAAGGCGUGCGUAGGCUGUUUCGUAAGUCGUGUGUGAAAGGCGCGGGCUCAACCCGCGGACGGCACAUGAUACUGCGAGACUAGAGUAAUGGAGGGGGAACCGGAAUUCUCGGUGUAGCAGUGAAAUGCGUAGAUAUCGAGAGGAACACUCGUGGCGAAGGCGGGUUCCUGGACAUUAACUGACGCUGAGGCACGAAGGCCAGGGGAGCGAAAGGGAUUAGAUACCCGUGUAGUC
rnacentral:rRNA from 1 species